GCCUGAGCCGCCGGUCCAGUGGCUCAAGGACAUCACUUUGUCUCAUCAUUGGUUAAGGUGGUAUCCUCUAGAUUUCUACAUUGUAAAGCUCAGUGGAUUCCAUGAAAGCCCUGGCAGACCUCUAAGAAGAGUCUAGCUGUCCCAUCUGUCUCGAGUACUUGAAAAACCCAGUGAUCAUCAACUGUGGGCACAACUUCUGUUGCUCUCUUCAGUAUAUCCUGGAAGGAUCUAGAUGAUACCUGUCCCUGUCCUGUCUGCCGUUUUUGCUUUCCAUAUAAGAAAUUCAGGAGGAACCCUCAGCUCCAUAACUUAACUGAAAUGGCUAAGCUACUCCAGAUCAGAAGGAGCAGGAGGAAGAGGCAGAAAGAGAGUGCUGUGUGUGAAAGCACAAUCCGCUUCUGACCCUCUUCUGCUUGAAGGACCUAGAGAUCUUAUGUACAUAGUGCAGUUUUUCCACUAAACACCAGAGCACGACAUUUGCACCAUUAAGAAAGCUGC